rnacentral:rRNA from 1 species
GCCCAAGAUUGAAAGCUGGCGUCUUCGGCGUCCGCAUUGUAAUCUCAAGAAGUGUUUUCCGCUUCGGACCAUGCCUAAGUCCCUUGGAAAAGGGCAUCAUAGAGGGUGAUAAUCCCGUACAUGGCAUGGAGCGCCCGAAGCUUUGUGAUACGCUUUCUAAGAGUCGAGUUGUUUGGGAAUGCAGCUCAAAAUGGGUGGUAAAUGCCAUCUAAGGCUAAAUAUUGGGGAGAGACCGAUAGCGAACAAGUACAGUGAUGGAAAGAUGAAAAGAACUUUGAAAAGAGAGUUAAACAGUACGUGAAAUUGCCAAAAGGGAAGGGUAGGAGGUCAGAGAUGCGGCCUGGGAUUCAGCCUUGCUUUUGCUUGGUGUUUUUCCUAGAUUGCAGGCCAACGUCGGUUUUGGGCACUGGAGAAGGGUAGGAGGAACGUGGCACCUCUCGGGGUGUGUUAUAGCCUCCUACUGGAUACAGCGACCGAGACCGAGGACAGCAGCGUACUCGCAAGAGCGGGCCUUCGGGCACCUUUACGCUUAGGGCGUUGGCAUAAUGGCCCUCUACCACC